rnacentral:rRNA from 1 species
CGACGUAAGAACUUGCCUCACAGCUAGGGACAACAUUUAGAAAUGAAUGCUAAUACCUGAUAUUAUGAUUUUAAGGCAUCUUAGAAUUAUGAAAGCUAUAAGCACUGUGAGAGAGCUUUGCGUCCCAUUAGCUAGUUGGAGAGGUAACAGCUCACCAAGGCGAUGAUGGGUAGCCGGCCUGAGAGGGUGAACGGCCACAAGGGGACUGAGACACGGCCCUU